AUUGAACGCUGGCGGCAGGCCUAACACAUGCAAGUCGAACGGUAACAGGAAACAGUUUGCUGUUUCGCUGACGAGUGGCGGACGGGUGAGUAAUGUCUGGGAAACUGCCCGAUGGAGAGGGAUAACUACUGGAAACGGUAGCUAAUACCGCAUAACGUCGCAAGACCAAAGAGGGGGACCUUCGGGCCUCUUGCCAUCGGAUGUGCCCAGAUGGGAUUAGCUAGUAGGGGGGGUAACGGCUCACCUAGGCGACGAUCCCUAGCUGGUCUGAGAGGAUGACCAGCCACACUGGAACUGAGACACGGUCCAGACUCCUACGGGAGGCAGCAGUGGGGAAUAUUGCACAAUGGGCGCAAGCCUGAUGCAGCCAUGCCGCGUGUAUGAAGAAGGCCUUCGGGUUGUAAAGUACUUUCAGCGGGGAGGAAGGGAGUAAAGUUAAUACCUUUGCUCAUUGACGUUACCCGCAGAAGAAGCACCGGCUAACUCCGUGCCAGCAGCCGCCGUAA
rnacentral:rRNA from 1 species